rnacentral:rRNA from 1 species
CUCGAACUGGCGACACUGCCAAAUUGCGGGGACACCCUAAAGACCUUGACACCAAGCACCAUCGGAAACGGUGGUGUGGCCGAGCUAAUUGCCCUGGGUAUGGUAAUAGUUCAAGGUAUGAGACUCCCUCCGCCAGGGGGGAAAAGAAGUCGAAAUGGGCAAUCCGCAGCCAAGUCCUACAGCCUUCCUCUUGCCGGGGAGGCCACGGACGCUGUUCACAGGCCAAAUGGUAGUGGGUGAACCUAUUAGGUUCGCUUAAGAUAUGGUCGGUCUCUGGGCGAAAGCCCAGGGGUAAGUUUCACUGAAACCCUCCACAAACGUUCCGUAGGUGAACCUGCGGAAGGAUCAUUAAUGAGUUAGGGUCUCCUAGGCCCGACCUCCCAACCCUUUGCUUACUAGACCUCAGUUGCUUCGGCAGGCCCGUCUUAAUCUGACCGCUGGAGGACCGCCUAAUGCGGGUGUUACCUCUGGCCAGUGUCUGCCGAUAGCCUAAUCUCCUAACUCUGGAUCAAUCAUGAUUUACAAUGUCUAAGUGAUUUUAUUCAAUUAAAAGCAAAAACUUUCAACAACGGAUCUCUUGGUUCUGGCAUCGAUGAAGAACGCAGCGAAAUGCGAUAAGUAAUGCGAAUUGCAGAAUUCCAGUGAGUCAUCGAAUCUUUGAACGCCACAUUGCGCCCUUUGGUAUUCCG